rfam:Strongylocentrotus purpuratus Contig73649_fixed, whole genome shotgun sequence.
GCGCGAUAGCUCAGUUGGUAGAGCAGUGGUCUUGUAAUCCGAUGACCUGGGUUCGAAACCAAGUCGAUGCG